rnacentral:rRNA from 1 species
UACAUGCAAGUCGAGCGAGGGUCUUCGGACCCUAGCGGCGGACGGGUGAGUAACACGUAGGCAACCUGCCUGUGAGACUGGGAUAACAUAGGGAAACUUAUGCUAAUACCGGAUAGGGUUUUGCUUCGCCUGAAGCGAAACGGAAAGAUGGCGCAAGCUAUCACUUACAGAUGGGCCUGCGGCGCAUUAGCUAGUUGGUGA